GACGAACACUGGCGGCGUGCCUAAUACAUGCAAGUCGAGCGGACUUUCAAGAAGCUUGCUUUUUGAAAGUUAGCGGCGGACGGGUGAGUAACACGUGGGCAACCUGCCUAUAAGACGGGGAUAACUCCGGGAAACCGGGGCUAAUACCGGAUAAUAUCUUUCUUCGCAUGAGGGAAGGUUGAAAGGCGGCGCAAGCUGCCGCUUGCAGAUGGGCCCGCCGCGCAUUAGCUAGGUGGUGAGGUAACGGCUCACCAAGGCGACGAUGCGUAGCCGACCUGAGAGGGGGAUCGGCCACACUGGGACUGAGACACGGCCCAGACUCCUACGGGAGGCAGCAGUAGGGAAUCUUCCGCAAUGGACGGAAGUCUGACGGAGCAACGCCGCGUGAGCGAAGAAGGUCUUCGGAUCGUAAAGCUCUGUUGUCAGGGAAGAACAAGUACCGUUCGAAUAGGGCGGUACCUUGACGGUACCUGACCAGAAAGCCACGGCUAACUACGUGCCAGCCGCCGCCGUAA
rnacentral:rRNA from 1 species